rnacentral:lncRNA from 1 species
AACUAGAGGCUCUCAAGAGCCUGUGUCGCUCACCUUGGUCUAUGUGCAUAUUUAACAAUGGACACAGAUAAAUUCAUAACAAAAUUGUGUUUUGAUGAUGGUGAUGUGUUUAUAGAUCUUACUUUACCGAACAUUCUUGUUGCUACAAUUAUCUCUAUCUAUAAUGAACUUGGCCCAGUAAUUACAGUGGAAAAUAUUUUCUAAAAAUCUAAAAAAAUUUAUGAAAAAUGUAAAAAAAUUACUAUAAAGGGAAAUAACUCCUAAAGGGGUCA